rnacentral:rRNA from 1 species
UACAGAGGGUGCAAGCGUUGUUCGGAAUCACUGGGCAUAAAGCGCACGUAGGCGGUCUGUUAAGUCAGGUGUGAAAGCCCCCGGCUCAACCGGGGAACAGCAUUUGAUACUGGCAGACUCGAGGAUGGUAGGGGUGAGUGGAACUCCAGGUGGAGCGGUGAAAUGCGUAGAUAUCUGGAGGAACACCGGUGGCGAAAGCGGCUCACUGGACCAUAACUGACGCUGAGGUGCGAAAGCUAGGGUAGCAAACGGGG